rnacentral:rRNA from 1 species
AAAUGCCUACAUCAUAGAGUUAAUGCACUGUAUCCCAUUAUAACUCUGCAGUUAAGAAUGCUCAUGCUAGAGUAGUACUGGGAUGAGUGACUGCCUUGGAAGUCCUAGUGUUUUACAUGCC